rnacentral:misc_RNA from 1 species
CCGAGUUAUUACUCCAAACCCUUUGUGAACCUUACCAUUUUGUUGCUCGGCGUACCGCGGGCCGCGGCUUCGGCCCGUCCCGCAGCGCGCCAGAGGACCCAACUCUUCAAUUUAUAGCGUACCUUCUGAUUUACAAAACAAACAAGUUAAAACUUUCAACAACGGAUCUCUUGGUUCUGGCAUCGAUGAAGAACGCAGCGAAAUGCGAUAAGUAAUGUGAAUUGCAGAAUUCAGUGAAUCAUCGAAUCUUUGAACGCACAUUGCGCCCGGCAGUAAUCUGCCGGGCAUGCCUGUCCGAGCGUCAUUUCACCCCUCGAGCCGCUUUUAGUGGAUCGGUGUUGGGGCACUACGGUAAAACGUAGGCCCCGAAAUGAAGUGGCGGUCCCGCCGCGGUGCCCCCAUGCGUAGUAACGUUUAGUCUCGCAUCGGGUCCCGGCGGAGGCCUGCCGUCAAGCCUUUUAUUCUCAGAAUAG